rnacentral:tRNA from 1 species
UCAAUAGCUGAGUGGAUAACGCGAUAGCGUUUGAAGCAAAAGGUACUGGGUUCGAGUUCCAGAAUGA